GCUUGGCAGGUUGGUAUUCCAGCAUGUCGGGCUUGCCAAGGAAUAAGGACAUUGAUGGCGUUUUCUCUUCUAGAGGACUACAAAGCCCCUUCCAGCAUGAUGAAAGCUUCUUGUAUCAGGUAUAUGUGUGCCUGGUGCCUACAGAGUCCAGAAGAGGACUGGAAUUGGAGUUGAAAAUGGACUUAUUAAUGAAGGGAUGUUGAAGUUUAUCAAAUACCCUUUUCUGUAUCUUUCAAGAUGAUGAUGAUGAAUCAAACUCAUGUUUUGAGGCUUGCAACCUUAACUGUUUCUUUUGAAAUCAACUAAUAAAGAAAGGAUUAAAUAAAUCACCAAGCAUCCAUGCCAUGAAAAACUGGAUUUUUGAAAGAAUGAAGCAACUCCAUGUGUGCUGACUUGGAAUGUCCACUAACCUGCAGCUGGAAACAGCAGCAGUCAUCCAGACUGUGAAGCACGGGGUAGUACCAUCGUCUACAGAAGGUUGCUUUUGAUGGAGAUGCUUUGGCGCAGCAGUAGAAACCCCAACUAAGAUCGUGCUUAUGUCAGAUUGGUUUCGUGAUAGAAUCGGAUCUGGACAGCAGUUUCCUUCAAUAAACGUCAGUGGAGCACCUUCUGGGUCCCUGGCAUGGAUGGACAGCAUCCCAAGAGGACUUUAGGUUGCCAUAUGAUUUGUUUCUCAACCAGCAUAUGAACUUUCCCAAGAUGAGGCAGGCCUUUUCAGUGUUACGCCCAAAUCCCAAAUCUAGGUGCAGAGUGCACAGCCAAAUCUCACCAAGCCUUCGUCUUCCUGAUAGAACAUGCUCGAUUUUAGCUGACUUCAUUCAGAAGUAGGAAUCAGAUACUAGUUGGCACAGCAGAAAAAAAAAAAAAAAAAAAAAAACCCAAAUCACCCUCUGGCAAGGAAGGCGUUAUGCAACUGCCUUAGAAGUAAAUUUACCUUCUUAAUUAUGGAUGCCUGUGGCUAUAAUUACAGAUAAGUAGCAUUUCCCACGUCUAAUCUUCUUCCUGCUUCCUUCUCUGAGCCCAUCGGGGUAACUCUCCUGGGCCUUCUAUUUAAUUCUCAGAGGUAGUGAGACAGAUUGAACGAACUUGCCUGACCGGAAGCUCAAAGGCAUCAGAGGUGGGGAGGGACAACACCGCUGAAGAAUCACCAUGUGGAACAGGGAAGCUUUGCUGACCUGCAGCGUCAGACUUCCAGACUGUCUCAACGUAGAGUGGCUUCCUGAGUCCUCCCGCCCUUCCUGGGGUUGUUCUGCAUUCAAUGGGUCAUGAGGCAGGCAUGCAAAACUUAUAUGAGCCGUGCCAGGCAGGUAUCACCCUGGAGUUCCAGAACAGGUGAAUAAACUUUCUCAGGCCUAAAUUAUAAACCAUUGUGUCCGGGGGCCGGAUUCCUGCAAAUACCCUAUUGGCUUCAGAAGUGUUGGUUCCUAUUAGACACAGAACAUUCUUGUCUUCUAAAAACAAACAAACAAACAAACAAACAAACCCCAAGCCUGUGGACAGAGGUUGGGAAGGUGAAGAGUAGGCCCUCUGUAGAUCCUGACAGCUUGGAAACUGAUCAUUUUCCAUGCCACGACUCUGAGCCCUUGUUCCAGUGGUUGACUAAGCAUGGCAGCGGUACACAGAGGUGCCGGCUCCAACCUCCAAAAGGCCUGACAGAAGCAACCCCACAUCUUUGUUCAGGGAAAAGACUUUACUUUCUAUCACACCCGACAGAGGAUCUUACUGUUUCUCUCCUCAGGCAUUUUCUGUUCUUUUGAUACCUUUUGCCUCCUGCCUGAACCCUGGAUGUAAUUCCCUUGCACAAAGCCCUCUGAAGAUGCUUAUAAAACUUGGAGCCAAGUCAAUCUACUUAAGCUCUACCUUUGCUUGGUCUCUUUAAGUUUAUCUCUCACAGCCCAGGUAGCUCAGCACUUCUCCUGCUCCUCACUUCGGCUCCUAAGAGGCCGAGAGGGCUUUCCCUGUUGCCUUGGCCCUCAGGGUUGGCAAAUGAAACAGUACCUACCAGCUCUGCGCUUUCUAAAGAGAGCCACCAGCUUUCUGGGGCCAAUUGAGAUGUGGCUAAGCAUACUCUGCUGUUUCCAGCAACCACCUCACCCUGCUCUCCCUGCUCCAGCCCACCCAGUCUCAGGAGAAGCAAGAAGAGAAGCAAAGAGAUGCUGAGGGAUUGUGAGGGCCAGCAGUAGGGUGUUCUGUCUUUGAGGGGGCAGUGAUACUUGCUUCACCGCACACUGCUGUGCUCUGAGAACCACAUCUCACCAUUCUAAAAAGAGAGGAUUUUGUGUGUGUGUGUGUGUGUGUGAACAUGGCUAUAGGUGUUUUAAAAUGAAUUUGCAUGUUAGAACAAUAUAUUGAUAAAAACAGAUUUAAAUUAAAUUUUAGAACUUAAGCUGGGUGGUGCUGGUGGCAGCCUUUAAUCUCAGCCCCUAGGAGACAGAGACGGAUGGAUCUCUUCAAGUUCAAGGGCAGCCUGGUGUACAAAGUGAGUUCUAGGACAAUGAGGUGCUAUAUAGAAAAACCAUGCCUAGAAACAAACAAACAAACAAACAAACAAAAUUUAAAACUUAAAAUGGUUCUUGGAUUCUGUUGUCUAAACGUAAAUGAUAACCAAAAACUUGAAAUUCAAGGGAUUGCUGAACUUAAAAAUGAGUAUUUCCUCACCCUGGGAGGGGAGGGGCAUGGGACACAGACUUUAACUCUUUUAUGGCCUGGGCCAAGUUGGAAUGUUGACACUUGGUUUGGCUGCACACAGUUUAUUGGAAGAAAUAGUAAGCCAAGUGCCUUGGAAAUGAUCAAGGGCAUACAUCCACCCAUCAUAUGCGUCAUAUCACCCUGGUUCCUUCACAUGCUCAAUGAAGAUAGGGAAGAUGGGAAGAAGGUCAUGGGGAUGUGGAUAUACGCUGUCUGGGUUUGAGGUCAGAUCCAUAGCAUGCUAGAUUAGGGACUUUGGGUGAGUCACUUAAUGGUUUUACAAUUCAUGUCCCUUAUUGUAAGAUGAGCCUAGUAACACACCGCUUUUGGUGUAACUGACGGGACUGGAUAAGUUAACACGUGUAAGAUACUUGGAAUGGUAGUGCAUGGUGCCAUGCCUCUGAUUAUUGCUUGCUGUCUGUGCUAAAGUUAAUGGAAGAAAAAGAUAUAUUCAUAAAGCCUUAGUACUGGGACUGGAGAGAUGGAUCAGUGGCUAAGAUUACUUCAUCCUCUUGCAGAGGACAGUGUGGUGCCCGGGACUCACAUUGCACUGUUCAUACUUGCCUGAAAUUCCAGUUUUCAAUUCCUCUUUCUGAAUCCACACACUUAUGAUACACAUACAAUUAAGCAGGCA
rnacentral:lncRNA from 1 species